AUUGAACGCUGGCGGCAGGCCUAACACAUGCAAGUCGAGCGGAGCGGCGGACGGGUGAGUGAGGCCUAGGUAUCUGCCAGGUAGUGGGGGAGAAGGACCGGAAAGGGGAACUCGUACCGCAUACUAUCGCGUGAGCCUAGGUCGGAUUGGCUAGUUGGUGGGGUAAGGGCUUACCAAGGCGACGAUCCGUAACUGGUCUGAGAGGAUGAUCAGUCACACUGGAACUGAGACACGGUCCAGACUCCUACGGGAGGCAGCAGUGGGGAAUAUUGCACAAUGGGCGAAAGCCUGAUCCAGCCAUGCCGCGUGUGUGAAGAAGGUCUUCGGAUUGUAAAGCACUUUAAGUUGGGAGGCGUUACCAACAGAAGAAGCACCGGCUAACUCCGUGCCAGCAGCCGCGGUAAUAC
rnacentral:rRNA from 1 species